rnacentral:misc_RNA from 1 species
UAAUUCGGUAAAAACUGAAUUACAGUUUCUAAAAGAAAGAAUAAUAUUACUAGAAGUAAAAAAUGAAUUUCCAUUAAUUAUGGAAACGGAAGAAAAAGAAGAAGAAACAAGUAGAGAUAAAUAGUCUCCAGUAUAUUAAUAGGAUAGAUCGAAUUAUAACUCACAAAUGGCACACAAAAGUAACCAUAAUUGUUCAGAAAGAAUACUUAUUUAGUACUAUAGCCUUAAUAGACUCAGG